GAUGAACGCUGGCGGCGUGCCUAAUGCAUGCAAGUCGAGCGAACAGACGAGGAGCUUGCUCCUCUGACGUUAGCGGCGGACGGGUGAGUAACACGUGGAUAACCUACCUAUAAGACUGGGAUAACUUCGGGAAACCGGAGCUAAUACCGGAUAAUAUAUUGAACCGCAUGGUUCAAUAGUGAAAGACGGUUUUGCUGUCACUUAUAGAUGGAUCCGCGCCGCAUUAGCUAGUUGGUAAGGUAACGGCUUACCAAGGCAACGAUGCGUAGCCGACCUGAGAGGGUGAUCGGCCACACUGGAACUGAGACACGGUCCAGACUCCUACGGGAGGCAGCAGUAGGGAAUCUUCCGCAAUGGGCGAAAGCCUGACGGAGCAACGCCGUGUGAGUGAUGAAGGUCUUCGGAUCGUAAAACUCUGUUAUUAGGGAAGAACAAAUGUGUAAGUAACUAUGCACGUCUUGACGGUACCUAAUCAGAAAGCCACGGCUAACUACGUG
rnacentral:rRNA from 1 species